GAGAGGUGGCGGAGUGGUCGAUCGCGGCGGUCUUGAAAACCGUUGUCCCGCAAGGGACCGGGGGUUCGAAUCCCUCC
rnacentral:tRNA from 1 species